CAAUAGUUUUCAGUAGGUAAGCCGCCGAGAAAAGUGAAUUACGCCACUGCAACUAAGGGUGUGUUUGGUUCUACGUAAAAUUGUGGAAAAAAAAAUUUUGGUGGAAAAAAAAUUUUCGAUGGAAAAAAAAUUUUACGUCGUUUGUGUUUGGUUUGUAGGAAAAAAAAAUAGUUUUCUGUGACGGUUGUUUGGUUGAAAGGAAAAGAAAAAAAUAAAAAACUAUUUAAUAUAUAUUUUCUCUUAUUAUAUAUAUUAUUAUAUAUUAUUAAUAUAUAAUAAUUAUCAUAAUAUAUUUAAUUAUUAAAAUAUAUAUUUAUAAACAAGAUAUAUUUAAAAUAUAUUAUAUAAUAAAUAUAUAAUAUAAUAUAUAAUAAUAAUAUAUAUUUAAUAUUAUAAAAUAAAUUAUUAUAUAUUUAUAAAUAAAAUUAUAUAUAUAUAGGUGAGUGGUCCAGUGUGGA
rnacentral:lncRNA from 1 species